rnacentral:rRNA from 1 species
UACGUAGGCACCAAGCGUUGUCCGGAUUUAUUGGGCGUAAAGCGCACGUAGGUGGUCCAGCAAGUCGGGUGUGAAAGCCCUCGGCUUAACCGAGGAAGUGCAUUCGAAAACUACUGGACUUGAGUACUGAAGAGGGUCGCGGAAUUCCCGGUGUAGAGGUGAAAUUCGUAGAUAUCGGGAGGAACACCAGUGGCGAAGGCGGCGACCUGGGCAGAUACUGACACUGAGGUGCGAAAGCGUGGGGAGCAAACAGG